AUCAGAUGUUUUAAAGGUCCAAUGUGUGGGAAUUUCUCCCCAUCGAGCGUUGAGAUCAUAUAUCGCGAUCAACUCUCUUGCGCCACGCAGCUUAAAGUACGUAAAACAGCUACAGUAGCCUUCAUGCUUUAAAAAAGACGGUCUUUUGGUCUUUCAAUAUCCUUUUUUCUUUUUCUGGGCUAAGAAGAAGACUCCUGUUGCUGAAAUGUGGAUUUUGAACAUGUGUGGUCCUACAUGUUUCUUUCUUCAAACUUGCCAAGGAAAACAAAGGGA